UUUUCCGGUUGAUCCUGCCGGGGGAUCACUGCUAUUGGAGUUCGCUUAAGCCAUGCGAGUCGAGAGAUUUCGGAUCUCGGCAUACGGCUCAGUAACACGUGGAUAAUCUGCCCUGGGGUGGGGGAUAAUCUCGAGAAAUUGAGGAUAAUACCCCAUAGGCCAGAUACGCUGGAAUGCAUUCUGGUUGAAAGUUCCGGCGCCCCAGGAUGAGUCUGCGGCCUAUCAGGUUGUAGUGAGUGUAACGGACUCACUAGCCGACGACGGGUACGGGCAGUGGGAGCUGUCGCCCGGAGAUGGACUCUGAGACACGAGUCCAGGCCCUACGGGGCGCAGCAGGCGCGAAAACUUCACAAUGCGGGAAACCGCGAUGAGGGAACUCCAAGUGCCUUGCCAUUGGUAAGGCUGUUUUCUUGUCUAAAAAACAGGGAGAGUAAGGGCUGGGUAAGACUGGUGCCAGCCGCCGCGGUAAUACCAGCAGCUCGAGUGGUGAUCUUUUUUAUUGGGCCUAAAGCGUCCGUAGCCGGUCUGGUAAAUCCUUGGGUAAAUCGUACCGCUUAACGGUACGACUUCUGGGGAGACUGCUAGACUUGGGACUGGGAGAGGUCGGAGGUACUCCUGGGGUAGGGGUGAAAUCCUGUAAUCCUAGGGGGACCACCAGUGGCGAAGGCGUCCGACUAGAACGGAUCCGACGGUGAGGGACGAAGCCGUGGGGCACAAACCGGAUUAGAUACCCGGGUAGUCCACGGUGUAAACGCUGCGAGCUUGGUGUUGGGGGUCCUACGAGGGCGCCCAGUGCCGGAGAGAAGUUGUUAAGCUCGCCGCCUGGGGAGUACGAUCGCAAGAUUGAAACUAAAGGAAUGGCGGGGGCAGCACCGGAAACGGAACCUUC
rnacentral:rRNA from 1 species